AGGGAGUUGAUCUGGAAGGGGAUCUCAGGAAACCCUGGGAGAGGAUGGAAAACGAGACAGGGAAGGGAAGGGAGCCAAUAAACCGUGUCACAAGCAAGGUACUGCACGCUAUGAGAGGAAUUUCUCCCUGAGCUACUGUGAGAGACCAAGUAGAACAUCCCAGGUCGUCCCCCAAAGAGGGAAGACGCUGAGGUGUCCACCCUGCAGUCUCUGCCUGUGGCUGGUGGGGGCUGAUUCCGGGAUGGGAGCUCUGGCACAAGUGGUCUCUGGUGCAGAGAGCUGCCACUGCUCAGUCAGCAGUGCUCGGCGUGUGGGGCUGAGCACCCAGGACACACUCGGCCUCUGCGGCCAACGCUCUUUGCCUGGAAGGACAGCCAAGUAUCACUCCCUCACUGUUGCUCUUCAGAGUGACUCACUGGAAACAGGAUGUGGAAAACAUGCAGAAUGGCAAAGCCAAUGAUCUCAGCAGACGCCGACACUUCCACCACUCCUCACGUCCAGCGCCGUCUGGAAACUCACUGAAUGUUCACGACAACCUGAGGCCCGCAGAUCAAUUUCUGAGUCACAGAGCCUGCGUCAUCUCCCAGCACAGGUGAGUUUGAGCAGGAUGCUCAUUAAAAGAAACAACGGGGUGUAAACCUUCGUGCAGCCGACGGGAGCCCUGGGAGGACAGAUCUGCGCAGCCAGCACUCAGCGAGCAUCCAAGGCCCCCUGACGAGUCACAGGUCUGCAGGGCUGCACUUCACCCCACGGAUGAGUAGACCAGCGUCCACCCCUGCGCACGGAGCCAGGCACUGCCGCAGCCCUUCUCCCUGGCUGCCACCCUGCCUUCCCGAAGCAUCCAAUGACCGGGGUGGGGGACUCCCACAUCCCCACCCACAGAUGAAUACUCCAGCUGCACGACAUCUAGAAUAUUCCUUGAAUACCCACUAUCUGCACGUUCCAUACUAGAAGCUUGGGCUUACAAUUGUGACGAAGUCAGAGGUGUCCCUGCUUGUGGGGCACUUUCAUCCAGGGAAAGACAGAUGAUGCCAAAACAAACGAAGAAGAAGAAUACGCCCACAGUGUUCAUGCUUUGAAAAAUAAUCAUAAAACAAGUGGAUAUGUCAUUAAAAAUCACCAGGAGGAAGGAGGGUUAGAUGGGGGCGAAAGUGUCAAAGAUGUCAAAGAAAGUGUGAAACCCACAUAACGAGAGUGAGAGGUCUUGCAAAGAUCUGGGUGAGUGCCUCUCCUGCAGAGGGCAAAGCUGGUGCAAAGGCUCUGAGGUGGGAACAAACCGGGUGUGAUCAAGGAUCAGGAGGGGAUGGCAGGGACCAGCUUAGUGGACCACGUGAGGAGUUGGGGUUUUAUUCAGAAUGUGUGAUGAUGCCAUUGGAGGGGUAACAACAGAGACGCUGAUCCCCAAAGCCAGGCAUGUUCUUAUUCACUGCAGGGCAAUGUGCCCUCUUGCAGCUUGUCUCGACUCCAGCUCCUCACGUGGGGCCUGGGCUUAUUGGAAUGUAGGUGGACAGAUGAGAGGAGGGGUAAGGAGCCAAGAAGCGGGCAGGAGAGAGGGCGUGGCUCUCCAGGAAUCAUGUCAUCCCGUCCUCAUGACGGUCCUGUGUAACAGAUGAGAAAGGGGAAGCCUGCUCAGCGUUAGUGGAGGAGUCAAGUUCACGCCCACACUGGGGACUGCAAACUGCCCUGUCCUCUGCCCCCUGGGUGCAUGCCCUUUGCUACAUGGCUUUGCUGUUCCUCCCAUCAAGUGGGACUGGCCUGGGACUUGCUUUAACAGACGGAGUGAGGCAGCAGGGACAGCGUCCAGCUCUGAGCCUCGGUCUCAAGAGGCACCGUGGUCUGGCACCCUCUCCCGCCUCUGCUGCAUGAAGCCCAGGCGAGUGAGCCUGCUGGAGACACAGAGACAGGUUGGGCCAGCACAGACAGCCUGGACCAGCCAGCCCCCAGCCAACCCGACAGCAAACCAAAGACUCUGGAGGAAGCCAGCUGAGACCAGAGCCACCUAGAUGAGCCCAGCCAAACUGCCAACCUGCCGAAUCAGGAGGCUCCCAGGUGCUGCCGCUGCUGCUGGACCAGGGACCACACUUUGAGAACUGCUGUCUUGAUUGACAUUCACAACAGCCGAAUUAGGGACCAAGGAAGAAACUGAAGCAGAGAGAGCAGAAGCGGCCUGCUCAAGGCCACACAGCUAGAAACUGACAGAGGCAGGACUGGAACCCAGGCCGAGUGGAUUCCGAAACCCACCACCUGCAGGUUCCAGAGGUUAAGGUGUGGCCAUCUUCGGGGCCAUUCUGGUGACCACAGACUUGGAUGUCAUCGUCACUUAACCAAGGGGAUGCGUUCUGAGAACUGGCUCCUUAGGCAGUUUUGCCAUUCUCCUGGAGCGUUCUUACACCAACGUAGAUGGUACAGCCUACUGCCCACCUGGGCUCAAUGGUGCUCGUCUUAUGAGACCACUGUCGUAUAUGCGGCCUGUUGUUGACCAAAACGUCCUUACGUGCCCACGACUGUCCAGCAUAGCGCAGAAGGCUGAGUGCACAGCUCGACGAAUUUUUCCGUCUAUACCCACCACCACCCAGAUCAGCACAUAGAAACUUUGUAGGUCCCCAUGGGUUCCCUGUGCCCUCACGUGUCCCCCUCUUUCCCCAACCCCAACAAGGACACACUCUUCUCAACUGCGUUAACUGUCUUUGAACUAUUUAAUUAAUUUAUUUAUUUAUUUUUGCUGAGGAAGAUUCUCCCUGAGCUAAUGUCUGUGCCAAUCUUCCUCUAUUUUGUAUGUGGGAUGCCACCUCAGCAUGGCCACCAACGAGUGGUGUAGGUCCGCGCCGGGGAACCAAAACUGGACCGCUGAAGUGGAGCACGUUGAACUUAACCACUAGACCACAGGGCUGGCCCCUUGAAAUUUUUUUAAGAGAAAUCAUACACGUACAUUUCUUUGUCUCUGGUUUCUUCCACUUAAUAUUAUGCCUGUGAGAUUCACCCAUGUUACUGCACGUAGCAGUAAUUCAUGAUUUUUAUUGCUGUGUAAUAUUCCGUGGCAUGAAUAAACCAAAAUGUAUCCAUUCUACAGUUGAUAGGCAUUGGGGUUGUUAUGGGUUUGGGGCUCUUGUGAAUAGCACUGACAUGAACAUUCUUCGUUACAAAGAGUUUGAAGGUGGCUUUUAUUGACACAUGUCACACAAGCAGUGCAGUGGCCCAACAGUUAGGAACACAGGCUUUGUCUCAGAUUACUGGCAUUCUAGUCUCUGUCUAGCUGCUUACGUACUGUGUGGCCUUGGGCACAGCUUCUCUGUGUCUCAUUUUCCUCUCUUUACAAAGGAUAAUAGUAGUCCUCACCUCAAAGGAGGGUCAAUUAGUUGUCAGGACUCAGUAAAUGUUGGCUAUAAUUAUUAUGAAGCCAAGCAGUACGACAGCAUUGAAAACGGGGGAAUUAAAAGCAGGGAAGGAAGGACAAGAGUAGGAACACACGGUGGACUUGAGAAUGCGUCUUGUGCGUGCAAUACCCACGGCGAUGUCCCCCACGCUUCCAAGUGGGCAGGCAGCAGGCCCGGGGCUGCGCUGGCAAAUCACAGCCUCAGGACCCGGGGACACUUGCUUGUACCAGAGAUGGUGCAGGAUGCUCCCAGAGAAGCAGAGCGCGUCUCCUGGAACAUCCUCAUUCUGCAAAGGUUUAAGGGGAAAUGUGACUUUUGUUUUUAAACAAACACGCGAAGUUUGGAGUAGACUGCAAAGUCACUUGCAUUUCUCAGAUAAACACGAGACUUGAGAAGCAUCCAGCAUUUGCUCUCUCCUCUGCACCCCAAGCCCUGCUGGGCCACCUCUGCCUUCGGGUAGAAGAGUUGGGGGCGCCUGCUGCGUGCUUCCUCGUGGCCACUAGAGGGCAAUAUCACGAGUUCCAAGAUCCGCAGGGGCCCUUGGAAAACAGCAACAGUUGUUCCUCCUGGAGCGUGUUUCUGUUUCUGAUUUUCGCGACUGCGCCGUGGUGGUUUGAGGGCCGCGCAGGCGAGCAGGUUGUGCAGCUCCGUGCUGCACUUGCGUUACUGAUUCCCCUCCCUCUGACCGCCAACAUGCUCGGGGGCACCAUGUCCCCAAACGAGCCCACGAGAGAAAUUAGCUUGUGUUUUGUCUUGCACUGCCCCACUGUCUUGCACGCGUGGAUCCUGGAGCAGACUAUGCAGACGGGAUGGGGUCUCCUCUGCAGGGGCUGCUGGGGCCUGGGCGCCCCAGAUGCCCACCCGCUCCCACUCCACACCCAGGACGAGUAUGGGAUAGAGAGAGGAGAAAACUGAAGGGAGAGGAGGG
ensembl:lncRNA